rnacentral:lncRNA from 1 species
UCAGUUUCUCUUUGUAGAAUUGUCGUUUGAGAUGUUCUGCCACAUAGAAUGUGGUGACUUUUGGCUUGAGAUAUUAAAACAUUUUUUAACUUCAGUUACCUGCAAAGCUAAUUCAUCUUCCUCUGGUCUUUUUCUGGAAAUGAGCUGCUUCCAGAAGAGCCUGUUCUGAAAUAGCACUGCUGAUCCCUUCUGUGUUAGUAUAAAUCCUUACAGAAGAGUCAUUUUUCCCAAGGUGAUUAUUUAGAGACUUUGAAGAUCUGAAUAGGUAAGAAACACUUUCUGUAGUAUAAAUACAAAUUUUGGUGAAUGUCCUAGGUGUUUAAAUUGGAAAAUAUUUUAAUGCUAUAGUAGAAACCUACAUUAACUUGUUUUAGUGUUCAUCUGGGCAUGUGAGAUUUGAUACUAAAAAUGCAUAAGAAAAAUAUCUUGUCUCUUGAGGCCCUUCUUUUCAGAGACUGAAUUCCAAGGCAUUGGUUCUGUGUUAAAGGUAACCUGGUU